rnacentral:misc_RNA from 1 species
UUUCCGUAGGUGAACCUGCGGAAGGAUCAUUAACGAGUUCAAAAGUCGGUCGACCGUGCUGGUGGAGACACAUGUGCACGUCGGUCGCGAACCAUCCACACACCGUGAACCUAUGGCCCGGGGUUCUAGUUUAGACUCUGAGCACAUUUUUACACUCUGUUCGUAAAGGAAUGUCAUAUAUCAUAUAAACAUACAACUUUCAACAACGGAUCUCUUGGCUCUCGCAUCGAUGAAGAACGCAGC